AUUGAACGCUGGCGGCAUGCCUUACACAUGCAAGUAGAGCGGUAACACGGGGAGCUUGCUCCCGGGUGACGAGCGGCGGACGGGUGAGUAAUGUCUGGGAAACUGCCUGAUGGAGGGGGAUAACUACUGGAAACGGUAGCUAAUACCGCAUAACGUCGCAAGACCAAAGAGGGGGACCUUCGGGCCUCUUGCCAUCAGAUGUGCCCAGAUGGGAUUAGCUAGUAGGUGGGGUAACGGCUCACCAAGGCGACGAUCCGUAGCUGGUCUGAGAGGAUGAUCAGCCACACUGGAACUGAGACACGGUCCAGACUCCUACGGGAGGCAGCAGUGGGGAAUAUUGGACAAUGGGCGAAAGCCUGAUCCAGCCAUGCCGCGUGUGUGAAGAAGGUCUUCGGAUUGUAAAGCACUUUAAGUUGGGAGGAAGGGUUGUAAGCUAAUAUCUUGCAGCUUUGACGUUACCAACAGAAUAAGCACCGGCUAACUCUGUGCCAGCAGCCGCCGUAACAC
rnacentral:rRNA from 1 species